rnacentral:rRNA from 1 species
CCUACGGGAGGCAGCAGUGAGGAAUAUUGGUCAAUGGACGAGAGUCUGAACCAGCCAAGUAGCGUGAAGGAUGACUGCCCUAUGGGUUGUAAACUUCUUUUAUAAAGGAAUAAAACGAGGUACGUGUGCCUUUUUGCAUGUACUUUAUGAAUAAGGAUCGGCUAACUCCGUGCCAGCAGCCGCGGUAAUACGGAGGAUCCGAGCGUUAUCCGGAUUUAUUGGGUUUAACGGGAGCGUAGAUGGGUUGUUAAGUCAGUUGUGAAAGUUUGCGGCUCAACCGUAAAAUUGCAAUUGAUACUGGCAGUCUUGAGUACAGUUGAGGUAGGCGGAAUUCGUGGUGUAGCGGUGAAAUGCUUAGAUAUCACGAAGAACCCCGAUUGCGAAGGCAGCUUACUAAACUGUGACUGACAUUGAUGCUCGAAAGUGUGGGUAGCAAACAGGAUUAGAUACCCGUGUAGUC